rnacentral:rRNA from 1 species
CGCUGGCGGCGUGCCUAAUACAUGGCAAGUCGAACGGCUUUUCUAUGGAAGCUUGCUUCCACUGAGAAGAUAGUGGCGAACGGGUGAGUAACACGUGGGUAACCUGCCCAUAAGAGGGGGAUAACAUCCGGAAACGGGUGCUAAUACCGCAUAGUUUUCUUGAUCGCAUGAUUGAGAAAGGAAAGACGGCCUUUGUGCUGUCGCUUAUGGAUGGACCCGCGGCGUAUUAGUUAGUUGGUGAGGUAACGGCUCACCAAGACGAUGAUACGUAGCCGACCUGAGAGGGUGAUCGGCCACAUUGGGGCUGAGACACGGCCCAAACUCCUACGGGAGGCAGCAGUAGGGAAUCUUCCGCAAUGGACGAAAGUCUGACGGAGCAACGCCGCGUGAGUGAAGAAAGGUUUUCGGAUCGUAAAACUCUGUUGUCAGAGAAGAACAAGUUGGAGAGUAACUGCUCCAGCCUUGACGGUAUCUGACCAGAAAGCCACGGCUAACUACGUGCCAGCCGCUGC